GACGUAGGAGGCGAGCGUUGUCCGGAGUUACUGGGCGUAAAGGGCGCGUAGGCGCCUGUUAAGUCGAACGUGAAAUCCCCGGGCUCAACCCGGGAACUGCGUCCGAUACUGGCAGGCUUGAAUCCGGGAGAGGGAUGCGGAAUUCCAGGUGUAGCGGUGGAAUGCGUAGAGAUCCCGGGAGGAAGACCGGUGGCGAAGGCGCCUGCUGGGCAGUUACUGACACUGAGGCGCGGACAGCGUGGGGAGCAAACAGG
rnacentral:rRNA from 1 species